rnacentral:lncRNA from 1 species
ACAAAAAAAUAGCCAACGUGGUGGCGGCCGCCUGUAGUCCCAGUCCCAGCUACUAGGGAGGCUGAGGCAGGAGAAUGGCAUGAUCCUAGGAGGCAGAGCCUGCAGUGAGCCGAGAUCGCACCACUGCACUCCAGCCUGGGUGACAGAGUGAGACUCCACCUCAAAAAAAAAAAAAAGAAAAAAAAGAAUUGACAGCACAGAGGAAAUGUGGAAGCUCCCCAAGUGUAAUCAAAGUAUGUGAAUGCACUCCAUUCACAGCAAUCAAAGAAGAUGGGAAGAAACACCAACAUGGGCAUCCCAGCUCAGGCAAGGAGGAAGUCAUCCAUAAAGGUGCUAAGCUGCACCCCAACGGAUACAGGAUGGCGCAGGGAAGUGAGACUCUGGUGGCAAGAGGAGGCCCGUGCAGAUCCGUGGAGCCCUCAGCUGCUUCUCCGCAGGAGCUCAGGGGCUGGUGGGAGGCCCAAGCUCUGAAACGGUGGGAGAGGUGCCUCUACCACACCUGCCCAGCUGCCACUUGCCGGAGAGCUGGACGCUGCCAAGAAGGAAACCACACACUGUCAGUGGCGCAUCUGCAGAGUCAUGGGGUGGAAACGGACCCUUCUGUGUCUCCUCCAGAUGAAACGCGUCACUUAUUCUGCAGGAAGGGCUGCACCCUGAGUGUAUAAACCCUGACUGUGCCUCCCUCCUUGCCCACCCUGCCCCACGCUGCUGGUCAGGACAGAGCCGGGAGCGGCCUGCUGACUUCAUGAGGCUCCUGGGGGGCCACCAGGCUGGGGAAUUUGGGGGCAAGAUAAUGACACAUCUUCUCAUGCAGAGAGUGGGGCUUCAGCCCAAAUCCCUCAAACUCCUGAAAAGUGGAGAAAGAGGGUGCAGCAGGCAGGCUGGGGAGGCCCUCUGGAGUUUAUCUAGGAGAGGUUAAAGAGGAAGUUGUGAUGCUA